rnacentral:rRNA from 1 species
CCUAUACAUGCAAGUCGAGCGAACAGACGAGGAGCUUGCUCCUCUGACGUUAGCGGCGGACGGGUGAGUAACACGUGGAUAACCUACCUAUAAGACUGGGAUAACUUCGGGAAACCGGAGCUAAUACCGGAUAAUAUAUUGAACCGCAUGGUUCAAUAGUGAAAGACGGUUUUGCUGUCACUUAUAGAUGGAUCCGCGCCGCAUUAGCUAGUUGGUAAGGUAACGGCUUACCAAGGCAACGAUGCGUAGCCGACCUGAGAGGGUGAUCGGCCACACUGGAACUGAGACACGGUCCAGACUCCUACGGGAGGCAGCAGUAGGGAAUCUUCCGCAAUGGGCGAAAGCCUGACGGAGCAACGCCGCGUGAGUGAUGAAGGUCUUCGGAUCGUAAAACUCUGUUAUUAGGGAAGAACAAAUGUGUAAGUAACUAUGCACGUCUUGACGGUACCUAAUCAGAAAGCCACGGCUAACUACGUGCCAGCAGCCGCGGUAAUACGUAGGUGGCAAGCGUUAUCCGGAAUUAUUGGGCGUAAAGCGCGCGUAGGCGGUUUUUUAAGUCUGAUGUGAAAGCCCACGGCUCAACCGUGGAGGGUCAUUGGAAACUGGAAAACUUGAGUGCAGAAGAGGAAAGUGGAAUUCCAUGUGUAGCGGUGAAAUGCGUAGA